GACGAACGCUGGCGGCGUGCCUAAUACAUGCAAGUCGAACGCUGAAGGAGGAGCUUGCUUCUCUGGAUGAGUUGCGAACGGGUGAGUAACGCGUAGGUAACCUGCCUGGUAGCGGGGGAUAACUAUUGGAAACGAUAGCUAAUACCGCAUAAUAGUGGAUGUUGAAUGAUAUUUGAUUAAAAGGUGAAAUUGAAUGAAUAGUAGAGUGAGCUGCGUUGUAUUAGCUAGUUGGUGUGGUAACGGAUCACCAAGGCGACGAUACAUAGCCGACCUGAGAGGGUGAUCGGCCACACUGGGACUGAGACACGGCCCAGACUCCUACGGGAGGCAGCAGUAGAGAAUCUUCCACACUUGCCUAAACUCUUACCUAACAACACCACGUUAGUUAAGAAGGUUUUCGGAUCGUAAAGCUCUGUUGUAAGAGAAGAACUAGUUUUACAUUAAAAAUUUCACACUGUAACUUUAUCUUACCAAAAAAGGACGCCUAACUACGU
rnacentral:rRNA from 1 species